rnacentral:lncRNA from 1 species
UCGCUUUCAUUCGCGGGAGUGAGGUCAGCUCCUAUAUUAGUAAUCUGUUCAUCAUGCUUCCCCAGGACGAACGAUUUGAUCUCCCCCUGGGGUCGAAUCCGGUCGUCUGUGUUGGUCCUCUGGUCUAGGUCGACUAGUAUGGUUUUAGGCCUUCUCUCUCUUCUGUAUGUAGUGGCUUUCAAAGAGGUUGUGUAACAUUGCCGAGCGGUUUUCUGAUCUGCUCGAACGAUGCAUAUUUCACCUCUUCCGG